GACCCCAUAGUUCAAUUGGUAGAAUGUUGGAGUCCGGAUCCAGAGGUUGUCAGUUCGAGUCUGGCUGGGGUCG
rfam:Mycosphaerella eumusae strain CBS 114824 scaffold124, whole genome shotgun sequence.